GGUGGCUGCUGGGCGGGCGGGGCGCAGGCCGCGGGACCCGAGCCCGGGGGAGCGAGAGAGCGGAAGCGCCGAGGAUCCGAUUCACUCGCUGGGGAGACCUAUGGGCCGAAGCCGUGUAAAUGCGUUUUAAGCAGGGGCCUCGGCUCCGCAACUGCCACUCCUCCUCGGGGUGUUGCACAAGUUUCGAGGUCACCGGCGACCCCCCCUAGCAGCGCGCCUGGCUCUGGCCCCCGCGAAGGAGGACGGAGCUUGGCAGAGAUGGAGUUGGUCCAGCAUAUUGGAGUCCCUGCCAGUAAGAUCAUCUGCGCCAACCCCUGUAAGCAAAUUGCACAGAUCAAAUAUGCUGCCAAGCAUGGGAUCCGGCUGCUGAGCUUUGACAAUGAGAUGGAGCUGGCAAAGGUGGUAAAGAGCCACCCCAGUGCCAAGAUGGUUCUGUGCAUUGCUACCGAUGACUCCCACUCCCUGAGCCGCCUGAGCCUAAAGUUUGGAGUGUCACUGAAAUCCUGCAGACACCUGCUUGAAAAUGCGAAGAAGAGCCACGUGGAGGUGGUGGGUGUGAGUUUUCACAUUGGCAGUGGCUGUCCUGACCCUCAGGCCUACGCUCAGUCCAUCGCAGAUGCCCGGCUCGUGUUUGAAAUGGGCACUGAGCUGGGUCACAAGAUGCACAUUCUGGACCUUGGUGGCGGCUUCCCUGGCACAGAAGGGACUAAAGUGAGAUUUGAAGAG
rnacentral:sRNA from 1 species